rnacentral:miRNA from 1 species
UGAUUCAGAGUCGAGCUCGCUU